CACGUAGGGUGCGAGCGUUGUCCGGAAUUAUUGGGCGUAAAGAGCUCGUAGGCGGUGUGUCGCGUCGGCCGUGAAAACCUGCAGCUUAACUGUGGGCUUGCGGUCGAUACGGGCAUCACUGGAGUUCGGCAGGGGAGACUGGAAUUCCUGGUGUAGCGGUGAAAUGCGCAGAUAUCAGGAGGAACACCGGUGGCGAAGGCGGGUCUCUGGACAGUUCCUGACAGCU
rnacentral:rRNA from 1 species